rnacentral:rRNA from 1 species
AUACAGAGGGUGCAAGCGUUAAUCGGAUUUACUGGGCGUAAAGCGCGCGUAGGUGGCUAAUUAAGUCAAAUGUGAAAUCCCCGAGCUUAACUUGGGAAUUGCAUUCGAUACUGGUUAGCUAGAGUAUGGGAGAGGAUGGUAGAAUUCCAGGUGUAGCGGUGAAAUGCGUAGAGAUCUGGAGGAGUACCGAUGGCGAAGGCAGCCAUCUGGCCUAAUACUGACACUGAGGUGCGAAAGCAUGGGGAGCAAACAGGAUUAGAUACCCUGGUAGUCCAUGCCGUAAACGAUGUCUACUAGCCGUUGGGGCCCUUGAGGCUUUAGUGGCGCAGCUAACGCGAUAAGUAGACCGCCUGGGGAGUACGGUCGCAAGACUAAAACUCAAAUGAAUUGGCGGGG